CGGCCACAUGGUUCCCUGUGCAGCGCCCCGUGGGUCCCAGCAGACACAGCACCAUAAUGGGAGACUUCUAGGCCGAGAGGGCAAAAGCUUCAAACAGCAGGCGGCAGCACCAGCUGUGUGGUGGCUGGGAGCUGGUCUAGCCUCCGCCUUCCUUCCAGAAGUCUCCCCAGCAUCCUCAACCAGGGCAGGAGCUGUGUUGCAGCGGUGCCUGUUGCAUGUGGAAGUCUCCCUUCAAGGUUUGCAUCAUGGAACUCACCUGGCCCAACCUCUCAGGGAGGAAAAUUCCAACCAGAGAGGGCCGCUCCUGUACUCUGGGAUGCCUUCUCCUGUCUGCCUGCCCAAAUCCUCGCUGACCUUCAAGUUCCAGCGUCGGGAAGUGCCUGGCCGCAUUUCUUAAAGGUUUUACAAGGAUAGACAUCAUUUCCUCCAAAAGAACACAGAGGGAAUGUUGAGCGCUCCCUUUCCCUACUUCUCCUUCUCAUGAUUAAGCAGGCAUUGUGGCUGUUGAGAUUAAAGCCCCAUGCGGAGAUGCAGGGCACCAGGCUAGAUGGAGCCCAGGUCCCCAGGCAGCGGUGUGGAGAAGACUCAUCAUGUUCACCUGGCCCACCUAUCCAUUUGGACUUUUCAAUAAGAAAUAAAUCAGUUUUGAGAAUGUUUCGGUUGCUGUUAUUCUGAGUCUCUUUAAGCAGCUAAAUCUGAGAUAUACCUAAUACAGCAUCCUCAUCUGUGAAAUGUGAACCAUAACCCUUGCCUCACAGGGCAGCUGUCAGGAAGGAAAGAGCUACACUUUGUCAAACACCCAGCAAGAAUCCAACAUAUGCUGAGUCCCACAUGUGUGCAAUGGGUGCUGUGUGCAUCUGGCUCUUCUCUUCAGGACCAAGGCACCAUCCCCCCAGCUGCUGGGAGGAAAGCCUGCUGAUGGCUCACAGCUGAAUCCCUCCCCAGACACUAGCCUCAGCCAAAGGGAG
rnacentral:lncRNA from 10 species